AGGCGGCCCUCGAAGGUCACCUGCUUGGCUGAUUUCCACUGUGUUUCUUAAGCUUGGAGGUCCUAGACCGGUGAAGCUGUAUCACUCAGGAGCUACUGGCUGGCUCCUGUGGGCCCACUUGGGGGGUUGUGGGGAAAUCCUGCCCACCAGUUGAAGCUGACUUCAAAAGCUUCCCCCCAGCACCCCCAUGUUAUGUCCAAGAACAUGCCUAACCUUUUCUUCUUUCAUGUUCCCAUAGGUCUCACCCAGAGGCAGAACCAAAGGAUGAAGAUGAAGAGGGGGCACUGACAGGUCAUCCCAGAAACCCAACCCAUGUUGCACCAUUUUCUGGGGGACUCCCCAAUGUUCCAGGGGACACUCUGGGGAGAGAGCUCAAUGAGGAACCCUCCGUGCCAGAACCUCUUCCAGCACCUUGCAUCACCAACAACAUCCUGGGGGAAGAGCUCACUGAGGAACCUUCCGUGCCAGAACCCCUUCCAGCACCUCGUAUGACCAAUGACAUCCUGGGGGAAGCGCUCAUUGAGGAACCCUCCAUGCCAGAACC